rnacentral:rRNA from 1 species
UACGUAGGGACCGAGCGUUUGUCCGGAUUCAUUGGGCGUAAAGAGCUCGUAGGCGGCCACUCAAGUCGAAAUGUGAAACCUCGAGGCUUAACCUCGAGCCUGCAUUCGAUACUGCGCGGCUAGAGUGCAGAAGGGGCAACUGGAAUUCUCGGUGUAGCGGUGAAAUGCGUAGAUAUCGAGAGGAACACCUGCGGCGAAGGCGGGUUGCUGGGCUGACACUGACGCUGAUGCGCGAAAGCCAGGGGAGCGAACGGG